rnacentral:rRNA from 1 species
UACGUAGGGGGCGAGCGUUGUCCGGAUUAUUGGGCGUAAAGCGCAUGCAGGCGGUCCUGUAAGUUUGGAGUGACAGUUUCCGGCUCAACCGGGAAAGUGCUUUGAAACUGCGGGACUGAGGGCUUCAGAGGGACACGGAAUUCCGGGUGGAGUGGUGAAAUGCGUAGAUAUCCGGAGGAACACCGAAGGCGAAGGCAGUGUCCUGGGGAGCACCUGACGCUCAGAUGCGAAAGCCAGGGGAGCGAACGGG